AAUCAUUUGUCUUUUAAAUGAAGACUUGUAUGAACGGCAAAACCUCCUCCAACUGUCUCCCCUCCCAUCCUUCCAAAUUUCCUCCUGUGUGAAGAAGCACAGAUACACCAGAAAGACGAGAAGACCCUGUCGAGCUUUAACCACUAAGUGGGCCUUACCCUUUCAGGCACCACCCAAAGGUUUUGGUUGGGGCAACCACGGAGAAAAAACAUCCUCCAGAACAAAUAGAAGAAAGCUUUUCACUAUUAUUACGACUAAGAACCAGGAACUGGUAUUCGGAAAGAGUUACCGCAGGGAUAACAGCGUCAUCUCCUCUAAGAGUCCUUAUUGACGAGGAGGUUUGCGACCUCGAUGUUGGAUUGGGGCCCCCUUAGGGUGCAGAAGCUCUAAACGGUUAGACUGUUCGUCUAUUAAAGCCCUACAUGAUCUGAGUUCAAACCGGAG
rnacentral:rRNA from 1 species